UACGGGGGGAGCAAGCGUUGUUCGGAUUUACUGGGCGUAAAGGGCGCGUAGGCGGCCACCGCAAGUCGACUGUGAAAUCUCCGGGCUUAACCCGGAAAGGUCAGCCGAUACUGCGGGGCUAGAGUGCAGAAGGGGCAACUGGAAUUCUCGGUGUAGCGGUGAAAUGCGUAGAUAUCGAGAGGAACACCAGCGGCGAAGGCGGGUUGCUGGGCUGACACUGACGCUGAGGCACGAAAGCUAGGGGAGCGAACGGG
rnacentral:rRNA from 1 species